AAAGCCGGCGUGGGUCAGCUCAGCAACCAAUGAGGCAGAAGCUAACAGGAUCAAAGGGAGCAGCAGUGUGCAUGUAUACCCAUAUUGCUGACUCACUGCACAGGCUGAGAGAGAGAGACAGGGAGAUGGAGAUAAAGAUCAGAGGGGUUGUGGAGGAGGAGGUGAGGACGCUGGAAAGGGGAUGUAGGAGGAUUGGCUUGGAUAUAACAGGAACAUGGACGACGCCAGAUUGAGGAUUACUUCAACCCAUUCAGAGGGAGGUCUGCAUGACGUUUGGCAUCUGUAGACUCCCCCAUCCCUUCACCCCACCCCCCUGGACACAAAGACACUGGGCUGAAAAGAACACUCGCUAAAAAAAAGAAAACUGGUGUUUUUGCCUCUCAGAGCAAGGUUAUGUGAUACAGUAGGCUUAUGCCAACUCUCAACCUCUCAAAAUUAACACACCCAGUUCAGUUACAUUACUAAUACUGCAAAUAUAGGCCAAAACCCUGUUUGAAUAGUUUAUAAAGUCUACAUUUUUUCCUUGCUUCAAAUAAUAUCAGAUCUGACAUGAUUGGAAAAAUGUGAAAGCCGCUUACUAGAAACUCCAGUUUCAAUCUAUCCAAUCUUGUUUGACCUAUUUUUUUUUACAGUCUAUGUGUUUGACCCACAAUACAUAAAGGGAAGAGAAGAAGAAGUAUUGGACCACAGCCCAAACUCCAAUAUC